UCAGUUCCCAAGUGGGCAUGCCCCUGUCUGUGUUUGCUUUACACAGGAGCAAGCUCCGGUCCAGAGGUGAAGAGGCAUGUCUAAGUCACAGAGCAAAUGGGCAGCCACAUCAGGAAUCACCAUCAGUCAGGAAUCACAGCAGCUGAGUCUCACGCCAAGCCCUUGGCAAAGAUACUGUCUCCACAUUGGAUGCUCCAAAUGGACAGCCCGUUUCUCCAUAAAUACACAUGUGACCAAGUGCUCUUUGCAGUUCCGUCCUCAGGAGCCCUUCUCCCCAGGAGCCUCCAUCAGCAACAGCCUCGGCUUUUGAUUACUGUGAAGGACUCUGUCAUUAGGCAAAGCUGGUUUGGAUGCCGAAGCAAUCCUUUGGGCCCUGCCUGUGAUCUCCCAUCCUCUCUUCCUUGCACAGAUAUGAAGUUUUAGGAUUAACUGCCAUCCUUUGAAAUAAUAGAAACAAUAUUAAAUGUG
rnacentral:lncRNA from 1 species